rnacentral:rRNA from 1 species
UGGGGAAUAUUGGACAAUGGGCGAAAGCCUGAUCCAGCCAUGCCGCGUGUGUGAAGAAGGUCUUCGGAUUGUAAAGCACUUUAAGUUGGGAGGAAGGGCAUUAACCUAAUACGUUAGAGUUUUGACGUUACCGACAGAAUAAGCACCGGCUAACUCUGUGCCAGCAGCCGCGGUAAUACAGAGGGUGCAAGCGUUAAUUGGAAUUACUGGGCGUAAAGCGCGCGUAGGUGGUUUGUUAAGUUGGAUGUGAAAUCCCCGGGCUCAACCUGGGAACUGCAUUCAAAACUGACUGACUAGAGUAUGGUAGAGGGUGGUGGAAUUUCCUGUGUAGCGGUGAAAUGCGUAGAUAUAGGAAGGAACACCAGUGGCGAAGGCGACCACCUGGACUAAUACUGACACUGAGGUGCGAAAGCGUGGGGAGCAAACA